UUCAAGUUUAAAUAGUUAAGGGUCUCAAAAAUGGAAUUUUGAAGAUUAGUGAAGAUUUCUAAAAUCUUUAGCAAUUUGCCAAUUGGAUUGAGGUGAAAUUUAUGUAUAUGAGUAAUAGAUUUGAUUUCCAACAUAAGUAUAAAUUUUGGAGAGGUAUUUAAUAAUAAAAUUAAGAAUUUUUAAUUCAAAGAAAUCGACAUCAAGAUUGGAGAAGGAGACCAGCUAAUACUGGAGUGGAUUUUAGGAUUUAUCAUCAAUUUAUUAUUUGCAAUUUUCUUCAAAUUUUUUGUGCUUAUUUUUAACUUAGUUGUUACAAGGUAUACUAAUUUUGAGUCAAAAUUAAUAGUUCAAACAUUUGUUAUUGAAUUUUUAAACUAUUAUAGGAUUAUUAAAAAAAUUUGUUUAAGAUUUAGGAUUUGAUUAAAGAUUGAUUAUGAUUGAUUUAAGAUCUAGGAUUUGAUUAAGAUUUAGUUAGGAUUUAAGAUUUAUCUAGGAUUUGAUUAAGGUUUGAUUAAGAUUUGAUUUAAGAUAUGAUUAAAAUUUGUCUAAGAUAUGUAUACGAUUUUUUU
rnacentral:lncRNA from 1 species